ACGCUCGACACCUACGGGAGACAGCAGUAGGGAAUCUUCCACAAUGGACGCAAGUCUGAUGGAGCAACGCCGCGUGAGUGAAGAAGGUCUUCGGAUCGUAAAACUCUGUUGUUAGAGAAGAACACGAGUGAGAGUAACUGUUCAUUCGAUGACGGUAUCUAACCAGCAAGUCACGGCUAACUACGUGCCAGCAGCCGACGGUAAUCUGAGGCGGCUGGCAAGGC
rnacentral:rRNA from 1 species